UACAGAGGGUGCAAGCGUUAAUCGGAAUUACUGGGCGUAAAGCGCGCGUAGGUGGUUCGUUAAGUUGGAUGUGAAAUCCCCGGGCUCAACCUGGGAACUGCAUUUGUGACUGCAUAGCUAGAGUACGGUAGAGGGGGAUGGAAUUCCGCGUGUAGCAGUGAAAUGCGUAGAGAUGCGGAGGAACACCGAUGGCGAAGGCAGCCCCCUGGGCUAACACUGACGCUCAGGCACGAAAGCGUGGGGAGCAAACAGG
rnacentral:rRNA from 1 species